rnacentral:misc_RNA from 1 species
CGUUGUACUACUAAGGCUCAGCCUUGCGGUGAUCGACGCCCCUCCUGUCUUUCUGGAGGGGUGCGGUCGAAACCCAUGGGCGCGUCCUCUCAGGUCGUCCAGCGUAGCAAGUCUCUCGCUGAAUGUUCGCCGAGAGAGGGAGCGCCAGUACUCAACGAACGCUUGGCCUCGAAUCAGGUAGGGAUACCCGCUGAACUUAA